AAGGAUGUAGCGAAUGGUAGCUCGAACUGAGUACCUAUACAAGGUGCUCGAUUGUCUAUUAUCACAUUCAAUACCACUAAGUGCUACGGGUUACGCUCGUAGCGCGUAGCCACGGUUUCGUCGUAUGUAGCGCGUAGUCGCUACGAACAGUGUACCCGACAGUCGGGUUCUUGGUGUUGAAUGUGUUAAUAUACACCCUGUAAAUUUGGUACACAAUAUUUUUUAUUAGUGACAAACUUUAUCGAUGUUAUAUCGAAUCGGAUUCGCUCCCUGAACGCAGAUACUUUCUAGCCUUGACAUGGCCAGUAUCUAAAUAAAUCGAGGAUUUUUUUAUUAUAUUAUGACUUGCAGCCAGUUUUGAAUAUUUGUGAGUGAUUUUCGACGUGAAAUAAAUGCAAACCGAAACUGUGACCGUUCGAAGACAUUACCAAAUGUCUUGCCAACUAGCGAGUCCCAAAUUUUUUGUUAUAGUUUUACCCUGAGCACAGAAUAGAUAAUAGUAGGUAAGGUUCACCCUCUAACAAAACGCGUCUAUUACGACAGAUAUGACCGCUAGGUGGCGCACGCGCGAGCAGACGUCCGUUCCGUAGCGGUGCGCGGCAACCACUACUGCUGGACACCAAAAUUGGUGUGGGCCGCAUGUACUUGUAGCGACGUGACGAAAUCGCGGAGUGAGCCACGCCUGCCCUGAGACAUAGAUAGAGUCCCUUUUGGUAAAAAUGUUCAAUUACGACUGUUACUAUUCCAAACGAAAGAAUUAUUGAUUAUAUUAGAAGUGUCAAGUCUAAGAAAAAUACAGCCGAAUUAUUUCUUAGACUAUUAAAUUUCCUUUUCUUCUGUUAAUAAUAAUAACUCUUUUCUUAGGGUUUAUUUAAUUAUAUCAAAAAUAGUUCUGAAAGGUAAAACACUCAGAAAUAAACAAAACUGACUGCACCGAGGCUAUUGUUUAAAAUAGUCUCGCAACUUGUUGUAAUGUCGAGUUUUAGUGUUAUUAUAAGAAUUCAUUGUGAAGGCGUGCUUGGAGGAAGAUGGCGUCACAAAACAGAAGUUUCUAAUAAUUAUAAUACUACCUCUAUUUAUGAAGCUAAUCGUUGGGGGCUACUAAAGUAAGGACACCGAGCACGAAGAAUUACGUACAUUGACCCGCCAUCUCCUAUCUCUAUCGCACGCGCAUAAUUAAAUCGAUAUCCCGCUCGCACAGUGACAUUGAGCGCGGGCAUCAUCAGCAGGACAGCGAUAUGAUUAUGCGCGUCGUCAAUGUACAAAAUUCUUCCUGCUUAGCUUACUAAAAGAAUCUGUUAGAGUGAGACAGUAGGUAGGUCCAUCACUCGAAUCUGUUGGAAGUCGGUUGAUAAAAUAUAGCAGUUGAAUUGAUUAGGUUUAAAUUAAUUUGGAUCAAUGUACGAAAUUCUUUGUGCUUGUCGUCCUUACUCUAAAGCAAAGAGAAUUGAUUGUAAUAGAGAGGUAAAGUCUAAGAAAACACGUGCCCCUUAGUUGGACAUCCAAAACAGAUGGCGCUGUACUGCGCCAUAUGUUUUGCGGUCACUGGAUUGUCAAACGUCAACUUUUGACAAUCAGAGUUACCGCAAAAUGUAUGGCGCUGUACAGCGCCAUCUCGUUUACGUACCUGUCAAAAUUGAAAGCACGCAAUUGUCUUAUAUUUUACGCAUAAUUGUUUUCCGUGGUAUUUUCUCGGAAACGUUCGUAUUUGUCAUGCUACUUCAGUCAACCUCAGUACUGUUUGUACCGAGACAGAGAAUCACCAAGACACGUUCGUACGUUUCCGUGAAAAUACGAUGGAAAAUAAUAAUGCACUUCAUCUGUACUUACUUACUUUAGAGUUUAGAGCAAAAGAUACAUUUGAUUGAGUGAGAUGCGUAAAAUCUAAGACAAUUUCGUGCUUUUAAUUUGACAGAUUAAACGAGUAGGCGCUGUACAGCUUCAUACAUUUGUAAGGUUCUUAAAUAAUUUGUGACGUCAUCUUUCCAAGUCGGCCUGGUGAUUUGAUUCUAUUUUAAUAUUAAUUGUUAAAGAACUACAUUGCCGUGUGGCGAGGCAGAUUUUCCCACCAGCGUAUUUGACUAAGUCUUUUGGGGGUGUUUGUUUAGUUUCGAAAGAUCUCAACUGCCGUCAAUGUUUGGAACAUUUAGUUGAGAAACGAUGUUGGAAGGCGGAAUAUGUACCUUAACAUGAGGUGUUAAGGUUCAAAUUGUACACUGGCAAUGGAACCGUCACCAACUAAGAACAGCAUAGACAAAGGAAUAUAUUAAGACAUUAAAAUUACGUACACGUCGCGCGCUCAGUACAGUCGGUGCUCCAGUAGAAGAUCCUCGAAACGGAUCGAAAUAUCGAGCGAUUAUUCGACAUAAUAAUAUAUGUUUAAUAUUUUUUUUAAUAUACAUACUAAGAUGCUUAAAGUAGUGCAGAAUAUCACAUAUUUGACAGGGAAGUAGAUGGCGUACGGCGCCAAACAUUUUUUGGUGGAUUGAAUGUUAACACUUGAAAACGUGGUUACAGCCUAAUUUAUGUGCCGUGCAGCACCAUCUACUUCAGCUGUAAAAACUUUGGUUACAAUACGUUUUCACUACUGUUAUAGAAAAGUGUCGUAGUAUAUUCUUUUUUCUACAAAACCAGAGUUGUUGUUGAUCUGAUGUCGUUUCUUAACUCAAAAUAAAUGAAAUAUAUGGUUAAUAAAUAUGUACAAUUUUCGAAUUAUUUGAUGUUUCGCUUCUUAGUCCUUGCAAAGGUUUAGUAAUUUUUAACAAGAACAACAAAACAUGUCUGUGAAUGGGUGCAAUAUUGAAGUAUGUGACUUUGAUUGUUACCUUUUAUGAAGAAAUUGUUCAGUAUAUCUUGAGACACGGACUUAAAUAGGUUCUCAUCGCGACGUGUGUUUUGGGCCUUUUUCUCAAGAAUUACACUAAGAUUAGGUUUUGUGUUAUUAACCUUUUGAACGCCAUCUGUCAAACCUAAGAACGUCGACACACGCCAAUAUCUCUGGCACAAGCUAGCAAAUAUAAACGGUGCUGGCAACGUUGGAGGUUACUUUAACAACGUACGCCGUAGCACUUACAAGCGUUCUUGGCGCCACGAGCAUGACUUCUUACGACGCCUUUAAGGGUUCUUGGCGUUCAAAAGGUUAAGCACUGAUGAAGCUGACAAGUCCACAAAUACACAUAAUCAGAAAAUAAAACGACCACCAUAUUUCAAAAUUUCCAAUACCAAUCCAACGACUAAGAAGCUAACUCAAUGCUAUUGGCGCCCUUUUCUUUGUAAUUGUAAAUACGACAAUGUAUUAGUGUUAAUGAUCUGCUCGCAAUGGACAGAUCGUCGGGGGGCCUACCGCGAACAUCGAAAGUUUCUUUAUCUGCCUAUCAUUCUAAUAUGCUAGAGCGAUAGAAGAAUGGGCCAUUUUAUUUAUAGUUGUACACUAAACUUGUUUUUUAUUUAGAUUUGGGAUUGUUAUUUCUACUCGGAAUCACGAGCUCUAUCGAUCCUAAUAGGAGAAAAAAAGUAACCCAAGUUUUUUAAUUUCCAUUCCGUUACUUUUUUUUAUAGAUUGGCGGUAACGGAAUUGAAGUAUCGAAGAAAUGUAUGGAAAUUUUGGGACACUUUUUUUUUUAGCUACAGGAUCUAAAAAUCUCGUGAUGCUGAGUAGAAAUAACAAAAAUCUCGUAUUUUUUAGAGUAUAGUGGUAUAAUUUCAAAUAAAAUGGCCCAUUAUAAUAUGUAUAACGAAAUUUGGAUGUUCACAGUAGGUGCUCGGUUCAGACAAUAGAUAAAGAUGAAUAUGGCAGGCCCAUCCGUUUUACUCGUGUGUUGCGUUUUGUGUUUCUAUGACGUUUUCGGGAGUGGUAUCUGUGGGAAUCGUUUUAUCGGUUGACAUCUUAUUUUUUAAUUUGAUGUCAAAAAAUUACGGAUGUAAUGAAAGGUCCUUCUUUAUUUAGUUACAAAGAAACCCGAAGACACUGCGUUGAUGUGUCAUUCUCACGCAAAAAGGUUAUUAUUUAAAUGUCAAAGAGGGAUCUUUACCAUCGAUACAAUUAUAUGGGACAACAUAGAAUGUUGAGGCUGAAAUGGAAACGCCAGUAAUGCCUAAAGUAUUAGAUGGAUUUGAAGUAACGGUAAGGAACGCGCGCCUAUACAUAUAAUUAUACAAUCAAUAAUAUACAAGGUCAGUCAGAAUCACAAAAAUUAUUAUUUUAACUACUAGUUGUGUCCAUCUUCAUUUUAGAAUAUUUUUCUUAUAAAUGACUACAGUUAUAUUUACUACACACUCGUCGAGAGCCUCUCACCGAGAGUUGGCACCACUCCGAUCCAAUCGGAGACGAGAACGGAGCAGUAUGUACACACUCGUUCUCGACCUGUCUGGGGGUGUCUCGACGAGUGUGUACAGCCGGCAUUAGACUCAAAUAUUGGAUUGCUUACUGAUAUCGAACUAUUUCUCGUACAUUUUUCUAUCGUAUUGAGGCGCGCGGCAUGGUCGGACGUUGGUUGAGGUCAUUCCUAUUUAUUCUAUUUUGUUUAGAUGAUGGAAAUGGCCUAUUGGUUGACAAGAUUCCAUAAAUGGAACGAAUAGGUUCGGUUAAGGAUACGUAAAUAGGUUAGGCAUAGGUUCUAUUUAAUAGAAGUAGGUUUUGAACGUCAUAGAAACGCUCUAAACGCUAUUUGAGAGCUGAAAUAUGAAUAAGUUAUGAAUAAAUACAAAAAAUUAAAAACGUUUCGGUUUGUUUAAGCUGCGAAUACACCGGGCGACAAAAUGUCCUUGGAUAUUUUUCGCCUAGUGAAUUAGAGGCUUUAGGUCUAUUUUGGUAUUUUGACGGUCUUGACUUCAGAAUGGCGAGAGGAAUUUUGUAUGCUUUUAGACAACAACUGAGAGCGCCCGGCGCUCUAAGCUCUUAAAAUUACAGCAAUUAAAAUUACAGCUCCGAGAUAUUAAAAUUACAGUUAUAUUGCCUUAUUUAUUCUGCUUUCGUGCCUGCUAAAUUCCGGAAUUAAUACCGGUAUUGGAUAUAACCACAAAAAAAAUUUUUAAGGUAAAAUCAGUUAAAUGGUCAAUGAAAAAGGCAUGUUUUUAAUGUUUUCAUAAAUAAACAAUUAUACAAUUGACUAACAUAAUCUUUGCAUUUUCUGUAACAACAGGAUUUUAUGAAGAUAAAUACUCUACUACAUUAAUUAUUAAAUUGCAAUUUUUUUUUGAUGAAACUAAUAAGUUCCAAUAUUUAUUAUGUAUUUCGGGAUUCCGAAAUUCCGGUAUUUAUGCCCUAGGCCUAGUUAGAGAUUGGCUAUCAAACUGUAAUUUUAGUUUCUACGAUAUAAUAAAAAGGCAUAAGCAGAUAAGCACCACCGACUUUAGGACCGACCGUCAAUUAUUAAAAUAGGCCUUAGGGUUUAAAUAAUAAAAAAAAUUUUUUUUUAACGAAACUUGUUUGGACAAGGCUGUCCUUGUUACACGAAUGCUUCCCGUUUUGAAUAAUGUUUUUAUAAGUGUCAUGAAAUUGUAACAUUUUUUUUUCAUUAAUUAGUUUGUAAUUCUUUUUAAUGUAUGGCUAAAAUUGAAUAGUUAUCUGUUAAGUAUUUGGCUCAUUCGAGGAAAUUCAUAAAAUUUCAAAAUAUGAUUGUAAAUAUAUAACGGCGCAUCACUUGUGUACGCAUCGCUAUCCUUUGCGCCCGAUUUAUAAUAAUAAUAUUUAUAUAUCAUCAAGUACAAAUCUAGGAGUUACUUAUUAGUUGGAUCCGUCUACGUGGAGUAACUAAGUCAUAAAUCCAUCAGUAUGGUUACCACGAGUUUGACACUGACAUUUUCGUCUGCGUAACUUACUGUCUGUACAUCUAACACGCACUUAUAUGACAGCACGAGUAAGUAAGUUACGCACACGCGAAUAUGUCAGUGUCAAACUCAUGGUAAGGCUACAGGAAACGAAUUUCUACCAGCUCUAGUAUUAAAGGCCCCAUUCCAUGGAUAAUUUUCAGUUAUUUUGCACUAGACAUUCGUUAUCGGUUUUUGCCCGACCUCCCUUUCCUUAACAAAGGUUUAGCUUUAAAGAUUGUUGUUUGCCUUAUAAAAAAAUGUGAUCUUAUGACGAUUAUACUUAAAGGGUAUCUUUGCGUUGCGGUACUAGGCUCCGCCCUAAAAAAAAAACAAAAAACAUUUUUUUUUUCAAGCCGCAGACCGCAGCGCGAGAAAUAAUAUGCCUUGUAUAAUAAUAACAAAUGAAUUAUGUAUUGUAUAAUAUAAGACUUGACAAUGUAUGGAUUGGGUCUGAGCGGACUGUCAAUUGGAGGCAACGGUGAGGCGGAGGGCUUUAUUGAACAUAAAAAAAGAAUGUCGCUCACGUAACGCCAUUCUAAUACUUCUGAAAAUGCUGAGAAAGCGAUGUAAUAUUUCAUGACUCGGCUUACAAAUUGGCAAUAAGUAUAUUCUAGAGCAGUGGUUCCCAAAAUUGAUUGGGCUCCUAGCUCCGACCCACCUAACAAAAACUGCUAAAUUCGGGACCCACCGUCGGCCGUCUUAGAAUUGGGGCAUAAAAUAUUAUUGGUAACGCUCAGAUGCCCUAGUAGUUUCAGGGCCCACUCGAUAUUCGCUCGCGACCCAUAGUUUGGGAAAUGCUGUUCUAGAGCUUUACGGAUUUGGAAGGCAAAGGCGUUACGUAAGCGACGUUCUCGUGGAAUUCUCCUAACACAGUAAAUUUAUAUUUUGUUUACAAGUUACGUUAUAAUUUUGCACUGUUAUUGCAUUUUAGGCUUCAUCGACAAUUGACAAAGUUGUUAAUUUUACCUGCAAAUUCUAAUCCGUUUUCUUCUAAAAAUUGUUCAUUCGAUGUAUUUGGUUACUGAAGAUACCGUCACAUUUAGCAUGCCAUUUUGAACUUAAUGCAUUUAGCACUAGGGUUCGAAAUGGUACUGGCUGGUGAUUUUGAAAAGAUGAACUGAUCUGAACUUAUCUCCAUCAUAAAUAAUAGGUAUCUUUACUAAAAGGCUCAGGCUUAUAAAGACCCCUAGUGGCAAUACUGUUUAGGGCCACUUGCACCAUCCCACUAUGUCUCUGGUAUGGGAUAUGUAUGGACACACCAGGUGUGCAGUGAUGAUUGUAUGAACUAAUUUUUAAUAUGUGCUCCUCCAUUUUGACACGUUUUUUAUACAAUAGUUUAUUUGUACCCCUGUCAGUAUAAAGCCCUUCCCGCGACUACUUUUUUUAUAAAUCGUAAGUUCUUAGUUCCACAGUGAGUAAAAAAUAUGUAAAUUUUUUCUUAUCCUAGUAAGUAAAAGAUCUCAUAUGUCAUAUUUUUUUGUUUUGUCUUUUUUAUAUUUUGAGGAACUUCGGAAUAGUCGAGUUGAUUUAAAGACAACCUAUGUAAAAUAAAAUAUAUUGAUGUAUAUA